CCUACGGGAGGCAGCAGUGGGGAAUAUUGGACAAUGGGGGGAACCCUGAUCCAGCCAUGCCGCGUGUGUGAAGAAGGCCCUCGGGUUGUAAAGCACUUUCAGUGAGGAAGAACGCCUGGUGGUUAAUACCCAUCAGGAAAGACAUCACUCACAGAAGAAGCACCGGCUAACUCCGUGCCAGCAGCCGCGGUAAUACGGAGGGUGCGAGCGUUAAUCGGAAUUACUGGGCGUAAAGCGCGCGUAGGUGGCUUGAUAAGCCGGUUGUGAAAGCCCCGGGCUCAACCUGGGAACGGCAUCCGGAACUGUCAAGCUAGAGGGCAGGAGAGGAAGGUAGAAUUCCCGGUGUAGCGGUGAAAUGCGUAGAGAUCGGGAGGAAUACCAGUGGCGAAGGCGGCCUUCUGGACUGACACUGACACUGAGGUGCGAAAGCGUGGGUAGCAAACAGGAUUAGAUACCCUAGUAGUC
rnacentral:rRNA from 1 species